rnacentral:lncRNA from 1 species
CCUUCCACCCCUCCGUUGCCGCCGCUCGUCGCCGGAAAGCCAUCAUCAUCGUGGACAGUACCUCGUCGCCCUUCGGAGCUCGUCGCCGGCCAUCUCCUUCGCUGUCCGUCGUCGCGUAAGUGUUGGUAAGAAUCGCCGUCGCCUUCUCUACCUCCCGGUGCCCUCCGUUUGCUUUAUUGUGCCGUGGUUUGCCAGCAACCGUUGCUCCCAUGCUGUUCACCGGUGAGAUUUUUCCUAGGGCCUUAAUCCAAUCUAACUUAAUCCGUUGUCUAUCUAGCGUCGUCGUCUCCGUGUGUUGCCGCCGGGUCACCGUCGUCGUCUCUCCCUCUCCGAUCGCUUUGGUUCGGUGAGACUUCUAU